GGGCGCGUGGUGCAAUGGAUAGCACAUCAGUCUGGCGAGCUGAAGGUCCGGGUUCGAUCCCCAGCGCGCCCG
rnacentral:tRNA from 1 species